AUAUGAAUCUCCUGGACAUCUUGUUACAACGCAGGUUCUGUCUAGCAGAUCUGAGGCGGAGCCUGAGAAUCUGCAUUUCUAACAAGCUCUCAGGUGAUGUCGAU
rnacentral:pre_miRNA from 1 species